GCUACGGCCAUAUCAGCCUGGGUACGCCCGAUCUCGUCUGAUCUCGGAAGCUAAGCAGGGUCGGGCCUGGUUAGUACUUGGAUGGGAGACCGCCUGGCAAUACCAGGUGCUGUAAGCA
rnacentral:rRNA from 1 species